rnacentral:pre_miRNA from 1 species
GUCACCCUAGGAGUUCUCUACAAGCACUUCACAAGGCACUAUUUUGGGAGCUUUUGUGAAGUGUUUGGGGGAACUCUCGGUGUCAC